AGAGUUUGAUCCUGGCUCAGAACGAACGCUGGCGGCAGGCUUAACACAUGCAAGUCGGACGCACUCGCAAGAGUGAGUGGCGGACGGGUGAGUAACACGUGGGAACCUGCCCUGGGGUCUGGGAUAGCUGCGGGAAACUGCAGGUAACACCGGAUGCGCCCUAUGGGGGAAAGUUUACGCCCUGGGAUGGGCCCGCGUCGGAUUAGGUAGUUGGUGGGGUAACGGCCUACCAAGCCUUCGAUCCGUAACCGGUCUGAGAGGAUGAUCGGUCACACUGGGACUGAGACACGGCCCAGACUCCUACGGGAGGCAGCAGUGGGGAAUCUUGGACAAUGGGGGCAACCCUGAUCCAGCGACGCCGCGUGGGUGAUGAAGGCCUUCGGGUCGUAAAGCCCUUUUGCCGGGGAAGAUGAUGACGGUACCCGGAGAAGAAGCACCGGCUAACUCUGUGCCAGCAGCCGCGGUAAGACAGAGGGUGCUAGCGUUGUUCGGAAUUACUGGGCGUAAAGGGCGCGUAGGCGGCUCGUUUAGUCGGGUGUGAAAUCCCAAGGCUCAACCUUGGAACUGCAUUCGAUACUGGCGGGCUAGAGACCGGAAGAGGUGGGUGGAAUACCCAGUGUAGAGGUGAAAUUCGUAGAUAUUGGGUGGAACACCGGUGGCGAAGGCGGCUCACUGGUCCGGUUCUGACGCUGAGGCGCGAAAGCGUGGGGAGCAAACAGGAUUAGAUACCCUAGUAGUCC
rnacentral:rRNA from 1 species